CCCUUAGAUGUUCUGGACUGCACGCGCGCUACACUGACGCACGCAACAGGUGCCUGCUCCGAGAGGACUGGGUAAUCAUUUGAGUGUGCGUCGUGAUGGGGAUAGAAUAUUGUAAUUAUUACUCUUCAACGAGGAAUUCCUAGUAAGCGCCAGUCAGCAGCUUGCGCUGAUUACGUCCCUGCCCUUUGUACACACCGCCCGUCGCUCCUACCGAUGGGUGAUCCGGUGAAUGAUUCGGACUUCAGCGGCUCCCCUGGGGUGCGCCGGAGAAAGUUUUGUGAACCUUAUCACUUGGAGGAAGGAGAAGUCGUAACA
rnacentral:rRNA from 1 species